UCCCGUUUUCAACUGUGGUCCUCAAGUGUACACAGCGUGCCCCUGCACUACUCUAUGGUCAGCGCUACAAAAGAUUACUUCGGCCACAAGCAUCAGCUGUUCCAGGAGCGACCACUACUGCUUCUACAUUGGCUCGCCAGUGGCGUCCUGCUGGUAGACUGGACUUGUCUCCUCGCCCUGCAUUACUACUGGUUCUGCAUUCCCGUUUUCAACUGCGGUCCUCAAGCGUACCCAGCGUGCCCCUGCACUACUCUAUGGUCAGCGCUACAAAAGAUUACUUCGGCCACAAGCAUCAGCUGUUCCAGGAGCGACCACUACUGCUUCUACAUUGACUCGCCAGUGGCGUCCUGCUGGUAGACUGUACUUGUCUCCUCGCCCUGCAUUACUACUGGUUCUGCAUUCCAGUUUUCAACUGUGGUCCUCAAGUGUACACAGCGUGCCCCUGCACUAUUCUACGGUCAGCGCUACAAAAGAUUACUUCGGCCACAAGCAUCAGCUGUUCCAGGAGCGACCACUACUGCUUCUACAUUGGCUCGCCAGUGGCGUCCUGCUGGUAGACUGGACUUGUCUC